rnacentral:rRNA from 1 species
ACGAACGCUGGCGGCGUGCCUAAUACAUGCAGGUAGAACGCUGAAGGAGGAGCUUGCUUCUCUGGAUGAGUUGCGAACGGGUGAGUAACGCGUAGGUAACCUGCCUGGUAGCGGGGGAUAACUAUUGGAAACGAUAGCUAAUACCGCAUAACAGUAGAUAUCGCAUGAUAUCUACUUGAAAGGUGCAAUUGCAUCACUACCAGAUGGACCUGCGUUGUAUUAGCUAGUUGGUGAGGUAACGGCUCACCAAGGCGACGAUACAUAGCCGACCUGAGAGGGUGAUCGGCCACACUGGGACUGAGACACGGCCCAGACUCCUACGGGAGGCAGCAGUAGGGAAUCUUCGGCAAUGGACGGAAGUCUGACCGAGCAACGCCGCGUGAGUGAAGAAGGUUUUCGGAUCGUAAAGCUCUGUUGUAAGAGAAGAACGAGUGUGAGAGUGGAAAGUUCACACUGUGACGGUAUCUUACCAGAAAGGGACGGCUAACUACGUG